AUGUUAGGGUUCAUGGAUGGUGUCGGCGAGGCGGCGGCGGCGACUCCAUCAGGUGUGUCUCUCCUUCUGCUAUGUCCCCGUUGCUGCGGUGUUAUCUUCGACGUCAUGGUGGAGCAGGGAGGUUUUGUCGUCCAGGAGUACGCGCAGACACUUGUCUACGCAAGUGACAGCUGGAAGAUGGUGCAUCUUGUGCUGGGUUUGUGGUUGGAGGCUGACAGUUCUGGUUUCCUCCUCCGACGUCGUAGUCGUGCGGGGGUGUCAGUUAUGGAGUUUGAUGACGUGUCCGGGGACACGUUGCCCCGGUCUGAUUCUUUCAACGGCAAUGGUUUUGCUUCAGGCAAACUACUUUGGAGGUCCGUAAAGCUGCAGAUCAGCGAUGGAGCCGCGUCGAGCUCGGGUGAAGAGGUUAUCUGUCUCCUUUUCCUUAGUGAAGAGGGCCAGACGCUGUUUUUUUUGCAUAGGAUUAGCUAUUCAAUCCUGUAA
rnacentral:rRNA from 1 species